CCAGAACAAAUGUUUCCACAUUCCAACAUAUAAUUUUUCAGUCUCGAACAAAUGUUAUAAUCAGGGCUCGUACUGCAACAAGGCGCCCACUGGGCCAGCAUCAAAUCACACUACAGUUACAACAAUUGCAAUCACAAAUCUAAACAAACGCCAGCCUCAUAGUUCUAAUGGCACUAGCCUCACACUUAAGAAAAAGAAAACUAGCUUUUUUGACAUCACAACACAGCGCAUUAGAAACAGGGCAAUCUCAUUUCCAUUGUCUUCGUGCAACUGUUCUUCCGAUGCUCUCCAACACAAUAAUUCUUGGAUCGUCUUGGCUUUCUUGGCAGUUUCGGGACGUCGCCCGUGUCGGGCAAGUUGUUCUCUACACCGGCUUCCCCCUGUGAAACAUUAUAUGUUGUUUAACAUUCCUAUGAUUUUCAGGGGUAUAACAAAACGACAACAUUCCUGACUGUACUUACCGAGCACCCACAUACGAUUUUCUUGCAUGCAUUUGUUCCCUCCACAUUCAAUCUGCUCUUCCAUGUCUUAUUACAAAACAUUUCUCCAGGAAUAUAAGUUGUAGGAAUCAAAAGCUCUCCGAGCGAGUAAAAGCUUGUACCUAAAGUCGGCACAC
rnacentral:lncRNA from 1 species